rnacentral:rRNA from 1 species
AUGAACGGCAGGGUGACCCUGGAUCAGGGUUGGGCCACCUACGCAGCCGUUCAUCAGAUCAAGAUCGGCUACAUGGUGACGUUCAAGCUCCUCACUCCCGACACCCUCAAGGUCAUCAUCUUCGACGACGAUGGCAUUGAGGUCGUCAACAAGUGUGGGAAGCACGACGAAGCCUUCGCCGCCAAGGACUAG